rnacentral:rRNA from 1 species
AUUGAACGCUGGCGGCAUGCCUUACACAUGCAAGUCGAACGGUAACGGGCCUUCGGGUGCCGACGAGUGGCGAACGGGUGAGUAAUGUAUCGGAACGCACCUUUCAGUGGGGGAUAACGUAGCGAAAGUUACGCUAAUACCGCAUAUUCUGUGAGCAGGAAAGCAGGGGAUCGCAAGACCUUGCGCUGAUUGAGCGGCCGAUAUCAGAUUAGCUAGUUGGUGAGGUAAAGGCUCACCAAGGCGACGAUCUGUAGCGGGUCUGAGAGGAUGAUCCGCCACACUGGAACUGAGACACGGUCCAGACUCCUACGGGAGGCAGCAGUGGGGAAUUUUGGACAAUGGGGGCAACCCUGAUCCAGCCAUGCCGCGUGAGUGUAGAAGGCCUUCGGGUUGUAAAGCUCUUUCGGCCGGGAAGAAAUCGUAUCAGCUAAUACCUGGUGCGGAUGACGGUACCGGCAUAAGAAGCACCGGCUAACUACGUGCCAGCAGCCGCAGUAACAC